GAUGAACGCUGGCGGCGUGCCUAAUACAUGCAAGUCGAGCGAACAGACGAGGAGCUUGCUCCUCUGACGUUAGCGGCGGACGGGUGAGUAACACGUGGAUACCCUACCUAUAAGACUGGAAUCCCUUCGGGAAACCGGAUCUAAUACCGGAUAAUAUAUUGAACCGCAUGGUUCAAUAGUGAAAGACGGUUUUGCUGUCACUUAUACAUGGAUCCGCGCCGCAUUAGCUAGUUGGUAAGGUAACGGCUUACCAAGGCAACGAUGCGUAGCCGACCUGAGAGGGUGAUCGGCCACACUGGAACUGAGACACGGUCCAGACUCCUACGGGAGGCAGCAGUAGGGAAUCUUCCGCAAUGGGCGAAAGCUUGACGGAGCAACGCCGCGUGAGUGAUGAAGGUCUUCGGAUCGUAAAACUCUGUUAUUAGGGAAGAACAAAUGUGUAAGUAACUAUGCACGUCUUGACGGUACCUAAUCAGAAAGCCACGGCUAACUACGUG
rnacentral:rRNA from 1 species